GAGAGAGAGAGAGUUAACAUAUCAAACUCUAUUAAUUGAUCAAAAUGAAAAAGUUAUUAGAGGUUAAUUUAAUUUGUUAGUCCUUGAGGACUGUGAUUCAGUUAGGGGUUAUUUUCUGUUAAACUCGAUUUUGAAGCUGUUAGUUAAGUUUUCAAAUGUUAGUUAAAUUUGAGUUCAAUUAAUGAUAGUUAGUGAAGUUGUUAGUUAUGACUGGUUGAUGCAGGAAACUUAUUGAACUGGAGUUAUAUGGAAAGGAUAUGGGUUGCAAAAAGGUGAUGGCAUGCCAAACGAGUUUUGGUUCAAAUGCAGGUCGUGUUGGUUUGAUCAGUUGCUUGGCAAACAUGGUGAUGACCUGUUGAUGUAGGUUGCAGGUAAAAUGCCAAUAAGUUCCGUUUGACUGAUUGGCAAAUUACAGGCUUGUAUGAUGCAGAUGAUGACCUAUUGAUGCAGGUUUUGAUGUAUUGUUGCAGAUUUGGGGUUGAUUGGCAAAUUGCAAGUGUAUGUUUGAGUUGUUUUGAUCAGUGCAAAUUGCUUAAUUUGCAGGUUAUACGUUAUGGGAUUGACAACUAAGAAUCCAUCAUAAAGACCUGCUUGAAAGGUAAAAACCUAUUAUCUUCUACACAUGAAUUGAUUUAUAUAUGGUUUUGUGUAAUGCCUCAUGUUACCAUGUUGAUAUUGGUUGGUACCCUCUUGCUGAAGUGAAUGUAUGCCUACCUAAUUGAAAUUUGCAUUGCUUGUCUAUUGCAUCAUGCUUGUUUGGAUGAAAUGCAUUUACAUGGUGUAUGUUUGUUAGGACAAAUGUGAAUGAUGUAUUAUGUAUAUGCCUUAAAUCAUGUGUGUAUAAUGUAUGUUUUUUGAUUGAAUUGUUAAAUGUUAAGUGCAGGGUUGGCAUGUGAACAUGACUUCAAGGUAUCGCAAGACAUGGCAAUUUGAAUGUCAAAAACAAGGCUUAGCACAAAGAUGGUUUUCUUGCUCAUGAAGGAAUUUGGUAAUAGAAUCACAUGGAAACAUGGGAAGUGAUAUGUAUUUCAAGUAGGCAUUAGGGUUAGGUCAUUAGAAUAUGUCAGUUGAAUUUGGCCAACUGCUUGACCAAAAAGUCAACAGUUGACCAAAAGUCAAAUGUAGGUCAACUCUAUAUUUUUUUUGUAUUUUUAUUGCAUGGAUAAUGUAAAUGAUAAUUGAAUGAGUGAAUAGACAUUAUUGGAUGAAAUGAUUUAAAGAACCAUGCCUUAUUUUCCUAUUUAUGACCUUGCCUUCAAAAA
rnacentral:lncRNA from 1 species